AAAUGAAUUAAGGGAAUGAAGCAGAAAACAUAAUUACUAAGUUCUGACUCAUCCCUCAGUGACUGUGUCUCUGGUUCCUACCAGGUCCAAAUGCCAACAGGAGGGGCGAAUGUGUCAUUUCUGGAGUGAACUAGCUGAAGGCAUGGCAUAACAUGAAGGGCACCUUUCCAUCUUCUUCCCCGGCGUCUCACUGGAGAUAUUUCAUCCUAAAACCUCAUGAAAUCUUGAUCCAAAGCUCAAAACAUGUGUUGUGUCAGAUGCAAAGUCACGAGAAAGUCAACAGCUCUAUCUGGUGUCCUGCUGAGUGGCCGGGCAGCUUUCUUGGCGUGAACUCUGAGCAUUCGUUGUCUCCUGCUUUGGUCUUGGUUGACUUGUCGGUGUUUUCAUGGUCGUUAACUAGAGUAUCUUAGCCUUCAUCUUUAACUCAAAUACUGCGGCCCUCAAGACUACCCCCAGGCUCAAUGACUUCCUAGAAGGCCCAUGAUUCAGCAAAGUGGUUAUGCUCACAACAACAGUUUAUUACGGCGAAAGCAUGCAGAUUGAACCCAGCAUAUGGAAGCAGUGCACAGGGUGGGCCCAGGAGAGUUCCAGUUGUCCUCUCCCGCUGGAGUCACAGGAAAUGAGAUCAGUGUAUUGAAGAGACAUCUGUACGCCCAAGUUCACUGCAGCACUAUUCACAGCAGCCAUGCCAUGGAAUCAACUCAAGUGUCCACCAGUGGAUGCAUGGAGAAAGAAAAUGUGGCAUCUGUAUACACACACGGGAGUAUUAUUCAGCCUUAAAGAGAAGGUAGGAUCCAGGUCGGCUAAGCAUGCUGGCUUCAACAGCAGGGAUGUGAGGUGAGGGAGGACAGCGAUGCAGGAGGAAUGGAGAUGCGUCUAACACGGGGUCAGACGGCAGAUUCGAGGGCUCCCUGAUGAAUGAGCAAACGCUGGCUCCAGCAUAUUUACUGCGUCACCUGUAAGUGCAUUCCUUGCUGUGCAAACUUGCUAAGUAUUUUUAGUAAGGCCAAAAGUUCCCCUAAGCACCGUAAUUAUCUCGGUUGGAGA
rnacentral:lncRNA from 1 species